AUACGUAGGUGACAAGCGUUAUCCGGAUUUACUGGGCGUAAAGGGCGUGUAGGCGGUCUUGCAAGUCAGAAGUGAAAUUCCUGAGCUCAACUCGGGCGCUGCUUCUGAAACUGCAGGACUUGAGUGCUGGAGGGGAUAGCGGAAUUCCUAGUGGAGCGGUAAAAUGCGCAGAUAUUAGGAAGAACACCGGUGGCGAAGGCGGCUAUCUGGACAGUAACUGACGCUGAGGCGCGAAAGCGUGGGGAGCAAACAGGAUUAGAUACCCGGUAGUCCACGCCGUAAACGAUGAAUACUAGGUGUAGGGGGUAUCGACUCCCUCUGUGCCGCAGUUAACACAAUAAGUAUUCCGCCUGGGGAGUACGGCCGCAAGGUUGAAACUCAAAUGAAUUGACGGGG
rnacentral:rRNA from 1 species